UAAGGCCACGGUUUUUUAAUUUGUUGGUUUACGGAUUUUCCCCAUGAAAAAGUCGGGUCGGUCGGUCGGGAAAAAAAAGAAAAAAAAUCAUCUUUGAAGACAGAAAAAUAUGCAAAAUCAAUAUAUAUUUCACCUUUCUAACAAUAUGUUUGUUAUGCCAUUUUAUCAUCAUUUCUUAAAUUUUAGUUCAAUGAAAUAUUAUUGCUCAGCUGUUAUAAACAUCGCAUGACAUUGUCUAAUAAUUUACAGUAAAAAAAAAGGAGGGUGCACGGACAAAGAUGAAAUUAAAUCGUCAUUUCAGAAACAAGAAAAAUAGAUUCGCGUAGCUCUUAAUCAAUUCCAGAAAACUUGGUGAAUAAUGAUCUUCAAGCACGAAAACUGAUAAAGAAAAAAAAUGUAAAAACGUCGUACGAAAAUAAGUUUCAACACACGUGUCAAAAACCUAAUAGACUCGUUCAUUGGAAAAACGAGAUUAUCGGGUCAAUCUGUUGUCUCACAUUCCCGUUUUUUAUCCAAAUGGACGAUAAUUUUUUUAUUAUCUAUGAAACAAGAAAAUUCCAAAUGAUUUGUUAAUAUUCAAUACUUCAACUUGAUGCCUUCAACCUAUCCACAUUUGGACAAGUCUAUUUCUAUGAGAUGAUGCAUCUUACGGACUGAUGACAAAUAAGGGAAACGAACUUAUUGUGUAAUUGGUUUUAAACACAAGUUUCGUUCCGCAAAAUUAUUUGUGCAAACGACAUUUCAAGGUCAGUUAUUAUGAUAAUUGAUUUGUCUAUAUUUAAAAACGUAAACUGGAAGUUUUAUUUUUUCACAACAGCAAGUGUUAUCAAUUUUGUUAGUGAUUAAUGCAUUUCAUUUCAUAAAAAAAAAUUAUUUUAAUUAUUUUUCAGGGAUAAUGCAUUUCUUAGGGUCGGCGGGAAUAAAAAAGCAUGAAACGUCAAUUUUAUUUUUAUUCUGGAAAUCGGCAAAAUUGGGUCGGCGGAUCCGUAAACCAACAAAUUAAAAAAUCCUGGCCUAACUAUCAUUUCCAGUUUUUAAAAUAUGUUAUUCCACAACUUCUUUUGAUCUCUAAAAUAACGGUUAUGAAUAUAAAACACAAAUGACAACACAUCACUUAUAAGGUCAACACUUCAAUCUCAGAACAGUUGAUUCAAUUUAGUGUAUCAUUCUCUGUGUAUGGACCCAAUAUCUCUAUGAACUUUGGGUGUUUUUAAAAAAAGGUAGCCUAAAAAUGUGACAUGGAUAUAAAUUUAUAUGUCAUAACAUGAGUAACCAGUACCUGGCAAAACUUAACUUAUGUAAGAUAUGGGUGUUUCUAAAAAGGAAAUCUUAAUCGAGGGCUUUACAAUGAUAAUGCCUACAACUGUAACGCCCACCUGUAGAUAAUGCCUAUCUUAUAUCUGCAACUGUUUAUUAAUUAUGGGAAUAAAUGUGAUAUAUGGUUUUGCCAUGAAGGUUUAAGUUUAGUAUUUCAUUAGACUUGGGUUUUCAGAUUUAACUGUUUAAUAUGGGAUAAAGUAUGAAAUAAAAUUGAGUUGUUUAUAAUUUAUAGUGGUAAGUUAAAAUGCCUGAAACUCUUCAAUGAUGCUUGUGAUAAAAAGAAAAUCUUGCUCUACACAUGUGUAGAAAUAAAUAACAAAAAACAAACGUAAAAACACACAUCAUAUAAUUACUAUCUCAAAAACUGUCUUGACGACUAUUUUAAUUAUAAUUUUAUUUAAAUAGCAGUGGCAGAUCCAGAACUUUCAUAAGUAGGUGGCCACUGACUCCCGAAGAGGGGUCUGCUCCAGUCAUGCUUCAAUGAUUCCCUAUAAAAUCAACUAAAUAUUUCCGACAAAAGGGUUGUAUGCAGACUUUUGCAUAACCAAAUUAAUCAAAUACGGUAUACACAAAUAUCAUGUUUCCUCAUAUCAAAAAAAAUGUGUACUCUCAUAAAUAGAUCGACUUACAAUGUGGCAUUUUAAAGUACCUUCCAAGGGUUCCAUGUAUGUUUAAUAUUUGAGCCCCAACAAUAACUAUUCACCAUUUGGUUUGUUUUUUAAAGUACUGCAGUUAAACAGAAUCCCUUAUGUGAACAGAGACACUGACAUACCAAAACAAAAGCACUUUUCAUAACCAAUCAACUUUCAUACAAACAAAUAUUGAUUCCAUUAGAUUUGUACAUAGUUGCUUACACAUAAGUAUAUUACUAAAAACUUCUCGUAAUACUACCUCUAGUAGCUGUGUAAAAUUAAAUAAAAUACCCUGAAAUAGUCUACAAAUUGGGAGUUAAAAUCAAUAUUUUUGAAACAGUAAUA
rnacentral:lncRNA from 1 species